rnacentral:lncRNA from 1 species
GUCUAAUUAUUAAUAAAAUAUACAAGUGCAUAGUUAUUAAUAUUUUUAUUUCAAAUCAUUCUUUAUAUAUCUUGUUAAUCAUUCUUUUUAUAUCUUUAUAUAUCUAUUUUUUAUUUCACUAGGGUUGAAAUGAAGAGGGAUCAUUAUCUGUCCUAUCCAUACUUACUGCCAAGACUUACUAUAUUCCAUUUCCCCUAUGACCUUCCUCUCUUUGUCAUGCUUUUCCUUGUCUGUUUAUUCAGUCUAGUGGCAUCAGGCCUCCAGUCUGAUUCUCUGCCUGCUCCCAUUCCUCACCUGAUUCUACUCUUUCUUCUGUUCUCUCCCAAUGGCUCGUUCAUUCCCAGGCAGACACUGGCAUUGAGUAAUUAGCAGAAUAGGACAUAUUGGCAGCAUUCAUUAGUCUUGGGAGAAUUUUUAAGUUUAGUCACCUGGUAAAGUAUAUUGGAAAAGGGGGGAGGAAGAUAUCCAAGAAUGUUUAAAGUCAGCUUCUGAAGACUCAGAGGUCAGCUGAAGAGUCACAUAAUUACUGGCAAAACAGACCAUACUCUAACUGGGAGGAAAGGAAGGAGGAGAAUGGGGAGAUUGAGAGAGGCCACUAUUUCAGUGUAGCCUGCUAUGUCAAAUAAGAGAUGCUACUGUUUUCAGGCAUUUUAUUUUUCUGAGAGAAAUUGGAACUCAUUUGGUUUGUUGUUCUUGUUUGGUGUGUUUUUUGUCAUUGUUGUUUCUUCUGUGUGCAUUUUUUAUUUAUAUACUUUUUUUGUGGUACCAAGGGUUAAACCCAGGGAAUUAUGCAUAUUAGAGAAUCACUCUACCACUGAGCUACAUCCACAUCAAUUUUAAAUUAUUAUUAUUUUUAUUUUGACAAAGGUAUUGGUAAGUUGCUGAUUGUUGCCUACAACUUAUGAUCCUCCUGCCUCAGCCUCCCAGUUAUCUAGGAUUACAUGCAUGUGCCAUCACACUCAGCUUAAUUUUGUUUUAAAAUUAAACUUAGAUAGGACUAGUUAAGCUUCACCAGCCACACUGAAAUUACAUGAAACUUUAUUAUAUUUUAACUUUUGCAGUGCUUUGAUGGAAGCAGUGCUAUGUACAUAUUCU